AUGGACGAGGGGCGAAAGCGCAAGGCGCUCGACGGCAUGAAUCCGUGGACUGGGCGGCCUUACUCCUCUCGCUACUACGAAAUGCUGGAGAAUCGGCGCGCCCUCCCGGUGUGGAGGCAUAAGGGAGAGUUCCUGCGCCUCUUAGGCCUCCACAAAGUCGUUAUCGUCGUCGGGGAUUCGGGAGGUGGCAACACCACUCAGGUCCCUCAGAUUGUUCUGCAGGCAUGGAAUGGCAGGGUGGCCUGUACCCAGCCUUGGAGGGUCGCUGCAAUGACGGCCGCUCAACGCGUCGCAGAUGAAAUGGAUGUCACUCUUGGUGAACAGGUUGGCUACACGGUACCUUUAGAAGAGUGCGGCAACCACAAUACUGUGAUCAUGUACAUGAAAGAUUCUAUGCUCCUGAGAGAAGCUGCAGAAGAUCCCCUGUUUCAGAAGUACAAGGUGGUUAUUGUGGAUGAAGCUCAUGAACGUACAUUGGCAACUGAUAUUCUAUCUGUGAUCCUGAAAAAUGCUAUCAGCAAAAGGAAGGACUUGAGGCUGGUUGUCAUGAGUGCCACAGACAACACUCAAGAGAAUAACUUCAGCAUACACUUCAACAAUGCACCGAUUCUGAUGGUGCCUGGUAGGCAAUUGCAUCCGUUCGAAUGCAUCUACCUGCCAGAACCAAUGUUCAACUAUGUGGAGGUUGCAAUCAUUACAGUAGUACAGAUACACACUACUCGGCCUGCUGGUGACAUCAUUGUCUUUCUCCCAAGGGAACCCCAAGUUGAGUCUGUUUGUUCAGAACUUAGCAGGGAACUUCAGGGAAGGGACGACGUUGGUCCAUUUUGCAUUGUGCCUCUCCAUGAUAACCUACCAUUGGAAAAGCAGUCUAAGGUUUUUGAACCUGCUCCAGUUGUAUGGAGAGUGGGUUGUCGUCCAAGGAAAAUCGUCGUUUCAACAAAAUUGGCCGAGACCUCUGUCAUAAUUCAUGGAAUAGUCUAUGUUAUUGAUGCAGGGCUUUCCAACUGCAGAAUUCACAACCCAGACACAGGAGUAGAAGCUCUGUUUGUGUCAGAUAUUUCUCAGCAGAGUGCAGUUCGGAGAGCUCUUAUUGCUGGAAGAACGCAGGCAGGAAUGUGCUUCAGAUUGUACACCGAAGAUAUUUUCCAAGAGGAAUUACCACUCGAGACCUACCCAGAAAGUUUAACACUGAACCUGUCAAGCAUAGCUCUUGGUAUGAAGAAUCUUGGAAUUCCUGACCUCAUGAGUUUUAAGUAUAUGGAUUCUGCUUCACCUGCACGUGUAUCUGUAGCAAGGGCCUUGAGAGACUUGUACCAUUUAAGAGCAGUCAACCCUGAAUAUAACUUAGAACCCUUGGGUGAAGUGAUGAACUCAUUUCCCCUAGACCCUCAGAUGUCAGCAAUGAUAAUUGCCAGUCCAGAUUACCACUGCUCAAAUGAGAUUGUGUCUCUAUCUGCAAUGCUGUUAGAUCGGGAUUCAGAAUGGUGUAAGAUGAACUUCAUCGAUGCUCAAGUCAGGAACUAUGCUUACAAUCUUAGACAAAAGCUUGUUGGAAUCAUGAGAGGAUUGAAUAUCCCACUGUUGAGUCCAGCCUCCGAUAGUCCUUGGUUCCCCAACAAUGUUAAAUUGGCCAUGCUAUCAGGGUACUUUAUGCAGGUAGCUCACAGAGAAAGAUUUGGAUACUCUGUGAUGCUGAAAGAUGAUAACCAGGUAUUGGAUUUGGACAGGACAACCUUCCUGAACCGCAGGCCUGAAUGGGUUAUUUACGAUGAAAUCCAUUCAAACAUAGCUCGCACAGUUACUGAUGUCCAAACAGAAAUGCUACUGAUGAUAGCUCGCGACUAUUACGACCUAAGGAACAUUCCGCGCUGUGCCAUGAAGACUGCUAUUGAGAGGGCGCACGUCUUUGGGCUGUCUCGAAGUGGCUAUCAAGGCUUAGCUGAGAUGACUCAAGUCGAACUGCAAAAUUUUCUUGAGGGUGAGGGUAUGCAGUGGCAGACCAGGAUCUCAAUUCCACAAGCACCAGCAGCUGACGAGCAGGGGGAAGGCCCCCCUUCUCCUCAAUGA
rnacentral:rRNA from 1 species